rnacentral:rRNA from 1 species
GUGGCAUUGGCGGCAUGCUAUACAUGCAAGUCGAGCGAACAGACGAGGAGCUUGCUCCUCUGACGUUAGCGGCGGACGGGUGAGUCCAGUGGAUAACCUACCUAUAAGACUGGGAUAACUUCGUGAAACCGGAGCUAAUACCGGAUAAUAUAUUGAACCGCAUGGUUCAAUAGUGAAAGACGGUUUUGCUGUCACUUAUAGAUGGAUCCGCGCCGCAUUAGCUAGUUGGUAAGGUAACGGCUUACCAAGGCAACGAUGCGUAGCCGACCUGAGAGGGUGAUCGGCCACACUGGAACUGAGACACGGUCCAGACUCCUACGGGAGGCAGCAGUAGGGAAUCUUCCGCAAUGGGCGAAAGCCUGACGGAGCAACGCCGCGUGAGUGAUGAAGGUCUUCGGAUCGUAAAACUCUGUUAUUAGGGAAGAACAAAUGUGUAAGUAACUAUGCACGUCUUGACGGUACCUAAUCAGAAAGCCACGGCUAACUACGUGCCAGCAGCCGCGGUAAUACGUAGGUGGCAAGCGUUAUCCGGAAUUAUUGGGCGUAAAGCGCGCGUAGGCGGUUUUUUAAGUCUGAUGUGAAAGCCCACGGCUCAACCGUGGAGGGUCAUUGGAAACUGGAAAACUUGAGUGCAGAAGAGGAAAGUGGAAUUCCAUGUGUAGCGGUGAAAUGCGCAGAGAUAUGGAGGAACACCAGUGGCGAAGGCGACUUUCUGGUCUGUAACUGACGCUGAUGUGCGAAAGCGUGGGGAUCAAACAGGAUUAGAUACCCUGGUAGUCCACGCCGUAAACGAUGAGUGCUAAGUGUUAGGGGGUUUCCGCCCCUUAGUGCUGCAGCUAACGCAUUAAGCACUCCGCCUGGGGAGUACGACCGCAAGGUUGAAACUCAAAGGAAUUGACGGGGACCCGCACAAGCGGUGGAGCAUGUGGUUUAAUUCGAAGCAACGCGAAGAACCUUACCAAAUCUUGACAUCCUCUGAACCCCUCUAGAGAUAGAGUUUUCCCCUUCGGGGGACGAAGUGACAAGGUGGUGCAUGGUUGGUCGUCAGCCACUUGGCCUUGAGAAGGUUGGGUUAAGUCCCGUUAACUAGCGGCAACCCUUUAAGCUUAAUUUGGCCUUCUUUUAAUUUGGGGCCCUCUUAAGUUUGACU